UACGGAGGGAGCUAGCGUUGUUCGGAAUUACUGGGCGUAAAGCGCACGUAGGCGGCUUUGUAAGUUAGAGGUGAAAGCCCGGGGCUCAACCCCGGAAUUGCCUUUAAGACUGCAUCGCUUGAAUCCGGGAGAGGUGAGUGGAAUUCCGAGUGUAGAGGUGAAAUUCGUAGAUAUUCGGAAGAACACCAGUGGCGAAGGCGGCUCACUGGACCGGUAUUGACGCUGAGGUGCGAAAGCGUGAGGAGCAAACAGG
rnacentral:rRNA from 1 species